GAUGAACGCUGGCGGCGUGCCUAAUACAUGCAAGUCGAGCGAACGGACGAGAAGCUUGCUUCUCUGAUGUUAGCGGCGGACGGGUGAGUAACACGUGGAUAACCUACCUAUAAGACUGGGAUAACUUCGGGAAACCGGAGCUAAUACCGGAUAAUAUUUUGAACCGCAUGGUUCAAAAGUGAAAGACGGUCUUGCUGUCACUUAUAGAUGGAUCCGCGCUGCAUUAGCUAGUUGGUAAGGUAACGGCUUACCAAGGCAACGAUGCAUAGCCGACCUGAGAGAGUGAUCGCCCGCACUGGAGCUGAGACACGGUCCCGACUACUACGGGAGGCAGCAGUAGGGAAUCUGACGCAAUGGGCGAAAGCCUGACGGAGCAACGCCGCGUGAGUGAUGACGGUCUUCGGAUCGUAAAACUCUGUUAUUAGGGAAGAACAUAUGUGUAAGUAACUGUGCACAUCUUGACGGUACCUAAUCAGAAAGCCACGGCUAACUACGUG
rnacentral:rRNA from 1 species